CAAAUGGGGUCAUGGAGAAUGAGACACGACUGAAAAAUGACUCAACAACAAAAGGCAGAAGAAAUCAUGUCAGCAAAGGAUAGAGGACGAAUCAGAGACUGGGUCACUGUGUCUGGUCUUUUCAGAGAACCCUGGAGUCAGAAGAUUCCUCAGCAGCCAUCCCAUAUAAACCCCAUGCUUGCUGGAGUAGUCUCUUCUGCAACAUCCUGCCCAAGGGGUCAUCUGGUCUCUCUCUGCUCGGGCAUCCUCAGUAAUGGGGACGUCAUUUAGACUGAUACGAACUCCUUUAACAGUCUCUUCACAAAAGGGCUGUCAGUUCUUAAUUGGGAUCCAAGUCAUUCUUGCUAAAUGAAAAUUCUUUACGAAGACGUUGUUCUAUUCUCUCAGGACUCACCCUGGGUACUGAGUUGACAAAAGAAAUCAGGCUUCAUUGCCUAAUGUGCCCAUGGCCUUAGUGAAAGAUAAUAAGCUUCAGAGCCGGAAAGACCGUGAAAACCACCUGGCUCAUUUUAUAGAUGGGGAAACUAAGAACUAAAGAAGGGAAGUAAUGUCCUCAAAGUCACCCAGGUCGUGAGUAUAGAGUCAGAAUCUGAACCCAGGUCUUCUGAUUCUAAAUUGUGCUCUAUGCCUUUCUCUUAAAAAGGGGUGUAUGUGGGUGUGUGGGGGGAGCUAGACAGUCUUGGUAAUUGUAAAAAAAAAAGCAUGGAGAAAAAGCCUCAAGGCAUAAACAUUAGAGAUAAGAAGUUAAAAUAGCUCUCUUUGCAGAAAACACAAGACAGCAAAAAAAAAAAAUAACUUAAUGGAGGUUAUCAGUGAUUUUAGUCAAAGUAGUGGAGAAUGCAUGAUAAGCCUAGCUCCUUUUCUAUUUAGUUCCACCUAGAAUGAUCUCUGUAAUCAUUAGCCUCCAGCCAUAUCAGAUAGCUCAACCACUGGGCUGUACAUUUGACUCAGUAGAACUGGGACGUGUUGGUGACAUUGCAUUGUAAUAUGAGCUAGUGUUCACAGGGUGCUUUAAGAUUUAAGCACUAUACACAUGUUCUUUCAUUUGGGCUUCAUAGCAACCCUGGGAGUUAGGGGCUAUUAUUAUGCCCAUUUUACAGAUGAGCAAACUGAGGCUAGGAGAGGUUAAGUAACUUGCUCAAGGUCUCAUAGCUAGGAAGUGCCCAGGGCUGGAUUUGGACAGUAGAAGAAAGAGCUCCGAGCUUGGAGUCACAAGAUCUGCAUUUGCAUCCCAAUACCACUCACCAGUGCCGGCUCUGCCACUUAACAGCUGAGUGAGCUUUGGGGGUGGGGGUCGGUAAACUUUUCUGAGUCUCAGUUUCCUUCUGGAUAAAAAGAUGGAGUUGGACUGGCUGACUUCGCAGGUUCUCUUCAGCUUUAGACACUUAGUAAUUCUGCAGAUUUUAUUGGUCAUUUCAGUUGUUUGUGUUUGUAGUCAAACUGCAUUCUACUCACUAGCUGUGAAUUCUCUCCAAGGCCAAAUUCCCAAUUAGUUCUUUCGCUGAUCCAUGUUAUGUGAAUGAUUUAUGAGGAAGAGAAAAAAAAGGAGCCUUCUCUCAACAGAUCCUACUUUAGCCCUAGUCCCUGGUGGAAGAAGGAACAGAAAGGAGUUCUCAAUAAGACCAGCUCACAUCUUUUUACAAGGCACUUUUCUCACAGCAACCCAAUGAGAGAGGUCACACAAGUACCAUUACCCCCAUUGUAUCCUGGAGGCAGUGGACUCCCAGAGAAGCCCUGACCAUGAUGAGGAUAGAACAAAGAAUUCUUGGGCUCUUUCGUAUUCUAGAAUGGC